UACGUAGGUGGCAAGCGUUGUUCGGAAUUACUGGGCGUAAAGCGCGUGUAGGCGGCUCUUCAAGUCAGGCGUGAAAGCCCCGGGCUUAACUCGGGAACUGCGCUUGAUACUGUCGAGCUAGAGUGUGGAAGGGGCGAUUGGAAUUCCGUGUGUAGCGGUGAAAUGCGUAGAUAUACGGAGGAACACCAGAGGCGAAGGCGGAUCGCUGGGCCAACACUGACGCUGAGACGCGAAAGCUAGGGAGCAAACGGG
rnacentral:rRNA from 1 species